rnacentral:ncRNA from 2 species
UAAUUUCGCAGCGUAAUCGGUUUCCGCUUCAUGUUUUUUGACAUAUCAUGAAGGUUAGGAAUUAAUAGGGAAUUUGGUGAAAAUCCAAAACAAUACCCGUUGCUGUAAGUUCUGAAAAUAAUCUGAUAGCCAGCUACAAUACCACUGCAAGAUGCGGGAAGGUCGUUAUCAGGAAGAACAAAGUCAGAAGACCUGCCAUUACAGGCGUUUCCGU